CGCGUUGAACAAUAAUUCUUGUGUGUUUUCUCCCAUCCGGUCAACUGUCCGAUCCCCACCUAGUCAUCGACAUACUAUAAUAUUGUUUUAUUUCCAGGAAGGAAUCAUGCAUAUACAAAUGCUCAUUAUAAUAUUGUUUUAUUUCCAGGAAGGAAUCAUGCAUAUACAAAUGCUCAUUUAUCAUUAUUGUCAUGGAAAAUAAACUAGUAAAAGGUAACUGAAA
rnacentral:lncRNA from 1 species